rnacentral:lncRNA from 1 species
CACUAGUGUCAAAGUAGCAUCGAAAACGUACGUUUUUAUAUUAUGAGACACGAGGAGUAUUUUAGAGGACUAAGAUACUCUUUACUAACAAAACGGCUUAAGCAACGGUCGACACAAAUUCAAAUUUGUGGGCAGACAUAAUAAUAAUAUUGUUAGCAUCCAGCCAAUACAAGUAGCUCAUACAACCAAAUAGACGUUUCGAUAGCGAGAAUCCAUAAAAACACGAAAUAAAUACGCCUUCACCGCAUAUAGAUGACACAGAAGCUAAAAAGAAAUGUUAGGGAAAUCCUCUGAUUGAUAAAACAGACAGACAGACAGAUGAGCUUUAUCUAAAGCCUCCAGCAGAAAUACUACAGUCCUUCAUCAAACAUUCAUUCAUUCAGCAACCAUACUACAAUCCAAGACACAAUUCAUACUUUAGCAUCAUCAUUUUCUUCUUGUUUCAUUCAGUCGCGCUUCCUGUCCCUGUCUCUAUCCCUCCUUGUGGAGGGCGACCUCGAGCGGUCCCUUGACGACCUGCUGGAACGGCGUGGAGAACGGCUCCUCCGCGGUUCCACUCGGGAGCGCCCGCCUGCAUGCAUGCACACAAAUCCGGACGGAUUAGAUGCAUGUAACCAAAAACUGCCCUCCCCUAAGAGUAAUAUCCUGCUGCAGGCUAAUGUAGAGUGUAUGUAUAUGUAUGUACAUAAAACACGGUAAGACAGCCGCAAAUUAAAAUAUUAUAUAUGCAUCAACGUCCGUUCAUACUUACUAAAGAUGAUUGGCGCAGUGCUCCAGUGAAACAAGGGUGAUGAAUGGAUCUAGAAUGAAUGAUGCAAGUGGACAUUAUAUAAAAAAGAUCCACGGCACGACCAAUCAUGCUAGCUAGUGGCCACAGGUAAACUAAACCAGAUAGAUGCUAGCAAGGAAUCUGUCUGAGCAAAGCCAUGUCAAGUACAAGAAGAGAUCAGCAACCUACACAAAAUAUAUAUCACCAACAGGACGGGACGGAAAGCAUCUAUCUUAUCAGACCACAUGCAAGUACAGAAUACAAAAAUUCAAUAACAUAUCUUCUUAUCUGAUUGCUAGACACAUUCUUCAUACUAAAACCUGUGACAACUGGUAAAGUGCUCUAGUGAACCAAGAGCAACGAUACUACAGUAAACUAAUCUCCAGUUAAUCAUAUAAUAAUAAGCUUCUCUAAACUAUAGGAAUCUGAGCAAAGCCACGGCAAGUAAAAAAAUUAAAAAAAUCAUGCUACAAGACAGAUCAGACAACCGCAGUACAAAUCAUCUAACCAGAUUGCUACACACCGCAAUCUUGGCAUCCCGUCCUUCCCAGGAGACUAACUAAUCUCCAGUCCGUGUAAAACAAGACAGCCAAACCUCUGGUCUGGUGACAGAAAAAAAGUGUUCCAGUGAACCAUGAGGAACAACAAUGCUGUGAAUUAAUCUAACAUGACACCACUGGAGAAUUAACAAUACACAGCCCAUCGUGUUGGCUAAAGUCAACCGUGGGAUAAUAAGCUACUCCAAAUGCUGCCUAGGAAUCUAAUCAAAGCAAAGGCAAGUACAAGAAACUCAUGCUAUAAUAAUCCAGACAAGAAAAAAUAUCAAUAACAGGAAGCAAAGCAUCUAUUUCAAAUGCAACCGCGGGAGUCUCCAUGCAUACCUCUCGGACCACAGUAUUCUCCAGGGGUAGGGGUCCUCUCACGAGUUCUCUUUGCCUGCAAUUCACAAGGUCAUUAGCGAAUAGGAAUUCAAAUGCAUGGAUCAUAAUCAUUCUGCAUUGAUAAAUAAUUUUACUCGAGGCAAUGAACAAAAUGUGCAUCAAAUUGGUCCUGACGGAAGGCGCGCUGAAGACAUCCAACACCAGCUACACUUACCACCGUAGCUCCAAGAAUGUAGUACCACGUACCACAGUAGCUACACGAAACACGAGGAGGUCUACGGUGGUGACGCAUAGCAGUGCAGCGUUGAGAGCCACGCUCUCACUCCAAGAACACCAGAAUGACUUCUGGUGCUCGGUCUGUCGGAGGUGACGCGUAGCAGUGCAGCCUUGAGAGCCGCGCUCUCACUCCAGGAUCACCAGAAUGGUUUGAGGUGCCCUGUCGGUCGGUGGUGACGCGUAGCAGUGCAGCCUUGAGAGCCGCGCUCUCACUCCAGGAUCACCAGAAUGGUUUGAGGUGCCCUGUCGGUCGGUGGUGACGCGUAGCAGUGCAGCCUUGAGAGCCGCGCUCUCACUCCAAGAUCACCAGCAUGACUUGAGGUGCCCUGUCGGUCGGUGGUGACGCGUAGCAGUGCAGCCUUGAGAGCCGCGCUCUCACUCCAAGAUCACCAGCAUGACUCGAGGUGCUUGGUCCGUCGGUGGUGACGCGUAGCAGUGCAGCGUUGAGAGCCGUGCUCUCACUCCAAGAUCACCAGCAUGACUCGAGGUGCUUGGUCCGUCGGUGGUGGCGCGUAGCAGUGCAGCGUUGAGAGCCACGCUCUCACUCCAAGAUCGCCAGGAUGACUUGAGGUGCUCGGUCGGUCGGUGGUAGCGCGUAACAGUGCAGCCUUGAGAGCGGCGCUCUCACUCCAAGAUCGCCAGAAUGAGGUGCUCGAUCGGUCGGCGUUGACGCGUAGCAGUGCACCGUUCCGAGCCAUGCUCUCACUCGAAGUCGGUGCAGACAGCGUAGUAUGAUCAUGAGGGUGAUGGCGAUGAUCACGAGCGUGAUGGCGAUGCUCGUGAGGGUGAUGGAGAUUCGAGAGGCAACAGAUUGUAAGGUUGAAGAAGAGGUUGUACAAACCAACAGGUGGGUGCAGCCAGCAUUUAGUUCAAUAAUUCUACACAGAACACUGACUAGAAUUAAUGCUAGCCCAGCAGUGUGGAAGCUGUAUGGUCGUGGAAAUCAGCACAAAAAAAGAAAGAAGCAAAGGAGCACAGAAACAAGAUGUACUUUUUCAUUUCCUGCACUGAAAAUGUUAACGACACCCCAAUAUAUAUACAUAUAUAUAGCAUAGCCAAUGCACCACAGCAAUGAACCCAGAUAAAUCAGUGUUUAUAGGAAUUACUCCUACUCUGGCUGAUUUUCAGGGACACUUAAAAGUUGAAACAAGAUGUUAGAUACAGAACUGGUCAGGGUUUUGAUAUGCACUACAAAACAAAAUGUCCAAGGUAUACUGUGUGGAAGACAUAAGAAAGGUCUGCAAUGGCCUCAUUAUGGUACUGAAAUCAAUAGUUAGUAACUUGUAAACUAUGUCCUCAUUAAGGAUGUGUGGCUUAUUUCCAGAUAAAGUUGACCAGAAAUUUGGCAGUAGAAAAGCUAAAAUGUAAGUCAGGAUCUCCAUGGGACUCAUAUUUUACUACCCCACAUCGGUCAAGGUUUUGAUAUGUAUAAAAGCUGUUAGAGAUCGAGAUAUAUUUUGUUGAAGACUAGAAAGCGACCGACAUAAAAGGAAGGUCAGUAAUGGUCUCAUUCUGGUGUUGAACUAUUGACUUCUUAACUUGUAAACUACGUCCUAGGAUGUGUGGCUUAUUCCCAGAUAAAGUUGGCCCAGAAAUUUGGGGGUAGGAGAGCUAAAGUGUAAGACAUGAUCGUUACAUAUAUGCUAUGACUGCCUGGUAACAAGAAGUAGCUUAAACGCAUAUGCAAAUGAAAGGAAGAAGAAGAAGAAGAUGGUUGUGUAACACAAGUUAGCAUCAAGGUUGUUACACGCAGACAAGUUUGUU